AGGUCAGCAGCAGGCGCGAAAUUAUCGAAGCCCGCGUAGGGGCGAUAGUGAGGAGACGUGUAUUACGAAGUGUGUGUAAAGAACGCACUAAUAACUGGAGGUCAAGUCUGGUGCCAGCAUCCGCGGUAAUUCCAGCUCCAGGGGUGUCUAUGAUGAUUGCUGCGAUUAAAAAGUCCGUAGUCAAGCUGACUGACUUGCCUGCAAUGUGACUGAUUAAGAGACGAGCAGGGCUAGGAAAGCAGAGAAUUAGGAGCGACCGAGGGCUAGAGUAUUGAAUGGCGAGAGGUGAAAUUUGAUGACCCAUUCAGGAGUGACAAAGGCGAAGGCACUAGUCAAGGGCGAAUCCGAUGAUCAAGGACGUAGGCUAGAGUUUCGAAAACGAUUAGAGACCGGAGUAGUUCUAGCAGUAAACUAUGCCGACGCCGUGGUAUGGUAUUCUGUAUUGCGGAAGAGAAAUCAAGUAAGGCUUUGGGGAGAGUACGCGCGCAAGCGAUAAAUUUAAAGGAAAUUGACGGAGGAACACCACAAGGAGUGGAGUGUGCGGCUUAAUUUGACUCAACGCGGGACAGCUUACCAGGCCCGAUAAUCAUACGAGCGUAGUACGCGAUAGGUUAGAGAGUGGUGCAUGGCUGCUAUCGACAGUUGGGGUGACCUUAGGGUUAAUUCCGGCAAGUAGUGAGACCUCUGCAGUUAUGGACAGGUAUUUUUAAGAUACAGGAAGGAAGAGACAAGAGCAGGUCAGUGAUGCCCUUAGAUGGCCUGGGCUGCACGCGCACUACAGUGGUCAUUAUAAGUAGAAGUUAGAUUUUAAAGAUGAUCGAGAGGGACUGGGCUUUGUAAGAGGCCCAAGAACGAGGAAUUGCUAGUAAUCGUAGGCUCAUUAAGAUACGAUGAAUAUGUCCCUGUACUUUGUACACGCCGCCCGU
rnacentral:rRNA from 1 species